rnacentral:rRNA from 1 species
CUGGCUCAGGACGAACGCUGGCCGCAUGCCUAAUACAUGCAAGUCGAGCGGACUAAGGUGAAACUUGUUUCACCGAGGUUAGCGGCGGACGGGUGAGUAACACGUAGGCAACCUGCCUUUCAGUUUGGGAUAACUUCCGGAAACGGAUGCUAAUACCGAAUACAUCAUCUUCUGGCAUCGGAGGAUGAGGAAAGACGGCGCAAGCUGUCACUGAGAGAUGGGCCUGCGGCGCAUUAGCUAGUUGGUGGGGUAACGGCUCACCAAGGCGACGAUGCGUAGCCGACCUGAGAGGGUGAACGGCCACACUGG